CCGCCGAGCGGUCUAGCUCCACAUCAACUACUACUUGGCCGUCAGCUUCGACCCUUUUGGUUGGAUGGACCAAACGCCGUCGAAAUCUUGUGGCCACCAGAUACAUGAGCACUGCCAGGUACAGGAACCGAAGCAUAAACGGCAGCAUCAACGGCAGGGUGAUGAGCCAGCGCGGUGGCGCCGCCGUCGUGGAGCGCUACCCGCGCGAGGCCAGCCUCCAUCGCCACCGUGAGCACCACGAACGCCACCUGCAAGUCUGCAACGCGCACAGAUGACAGAGGGCAAGCCUUGCGGAAGGGUCUCAUGGGCCGGAGGGGCAGCUCGUCGACGUGCCGCAAGGGGUCCCAGCAGGGCUUGUCGCCGGCGUCAACGGCGCUCUCGUCGGCGUCGUAGUCGGCGACCUCGAGGAUGAGGUCGCCUGAUGAGCUCGCGGUUAUUAGGUCUUCGGAGGCCUCGAGGACGAAGUAACAAGGUGCGCCGGAUCCGUCGCCGCCGGAGACGACGACGGAGUAGUCGACGGCCGGCCGAGGCAUGAACAUCGACGGCGGAGGGCAGACAUGAAGCGCGCAUACAUUUUGACCAUACAUGAAGAAGUUCAUGUCCUUAUUCACAAAAGAAGAAGAAGAAGUUCAUGUCCAUUUCUUGGGCAUAUAGUUAAUA